rnacentral:rRNA from 1 species
UACGUAGGGGGCAAGCGUUAUCCGGAAUCAUUGGGCGUAAAGCGCGUGUAGGCGGUUCCGUAAGUCCGCUCUGAAAGCCCAGGGCUCAACCCUGGGAGGCGGGUGGAUACUACGGAACUGGAGUACGGAAGAGGAGAUUGGAAUUCCUGGUGUAGCGGUGAAAUGCGCAGAUAUCAGGAGGAACACCAACAGCGAAGGCAGAUCUCUGGGCCACUACUGACGCUGAGACGCGAAAGCGUGGGAAGCAAACAGG